UAGGAAUAUCACAUACUUCCAUGUAAUUUGUAUUUAUUAUAUGGUCUGAUACUCUGAUUCUCAUCCUAAGUAUUGAAUACUAGAGAUAAAUGCAAUUAGAGAUUAUGCAAUUAGAGAUGAAGAGUUGAAUGAGAAUUUUUUUCAUAGCCCUUUCUCAUGUCCAAGAAUUCAUGCCAAUUGCAAAGCGUUGCUUAGGACACAUCAUCAGGAAGGAGCUUCUUUGUUGAUUUGUUGAAGUGCGUGAUUAAUACAUCAAUUGCAAGAUUAUUUUAUUGUUAGUUUAAAUAUGAAUAUAAUUACUAUGACCUCAAAUGGAUUCAUUGUGUAC